rnacentral:rRNA from 1 species
ACCCCUCACACGGGAGCCGGCCCCGAAAUACAGUGGCGGUCUCGCCGCAGCCUCUCCUGCGCAGUAGUUUGCACAACUCGCACCGGGAGCGCGGCGCGUCCACGUCCGUAAAACACCCAACUUUCUGAAAUGUUGACCUCGGAUCAGGUAGGAAU